AUCCACGCUACCUGAAAGAAGGCCGCCUUCUGAAUCCAACGAUACCGGUUAUGUGCACAUCGGACCUACGCUUCAAAAGAUACGGACAGAUCCACGCUACCUGAAAGAAGGCCGCCUUCUGAAUCCAACGAUACCAGUUAUGUGCACAUCGGACCUACGCUUCAAAAGAUACGGACAGCUCACUGGCUCUGCUUCGGUGACAUCACUGAAGUUUCACAUCUGACCCGGACCCUCACUUACUUCGAGUCCUUUUGCAAUGGCUGAACAAGCUGAGAGGAGAAAAGCUGACCGGCGCUUCACUGCUUGGUUUGCCACAGACCGCAGGAGAACCUACCUGUCCACCUGGCGAGAAACAGCACGCCGGAACAAAUAGCCUCAGAGAACCUCGCAGGAGAACUUCUGAACCGUGGCUUCUUCGUGACAGACCUGCCCCUGGGAGCCCGGAGCCGGAGGUUUGGCGGAGGAGGCUGAUGACCCGUCCUGUCUUCAUGAAAAAUAAGUGUACUCUGACCGUGCAACACACGUGCGAAACACAAAAAGCACCACGAGAGGAUCCACGCUACCUGAAAGAAGGCCGCCUUCUGAAUCCAACGAUACCAGUUAUGUGCACAUCGGACCUACGCUUCAAAAGAUACGGACAGGUAAGCUUUGGCCAAUCAGAUCGCAUAUGCUAACGAGGGUGGAAUUAAUGAGGGUGAAACUCGUUUUUAUCUAUAUACCUAGCUGCAACUGACCCCAAACUAGCCCCUAAACCUUAACCCUCAAAACUGCUAGCCUUAGCCCCAAACAAAACUGCUAGCCUUAGCCCCACUGACCGUAACCCACUGACCCCUGGCCCCACCGUUUUUAAACGUGCCAGUCCCUAGACUCUGUAAACCUUUAUCAACCAGACGCUUCAUCAAAUUCUGUACAGAAAUAUCAUAAAACUAAUAUCAUAUUCUCCAGGAUAUAACCCUUGGCUUCUCGGUCGCCCUCUCCUGGAUAAAACUGUGAAUAGCCAUGUGUAAAAAACUGAUUAGGAUUCCAAUAUUUUAGCAGGAUUUGACACUCCAGGCGGAGCUCUUGAGCGGAUGACUUCACUCAAAGACAUCUUUCCAGUCUAAUUUUAAUGAUGCACUCUCUCUCUCUUUCACAAACACACACAUACACUCCUGUGCACACUCACACGCACGUGUGCACACUCACACGCAUAUGCAGUCAAAACACACAGACGCACACGAACUGGCUGGAAAACUAUUUUUAUUCAGGCUAGUGAUACCUUGUUCCUAAAAAGACAAAUGAUUUGACGGGUUAUUUCGUUUGGAUGUAUUUCUUGUUUUUAUCGAUGACUGGCUUCCUUUUUGUCACGCUUUAGACUGAUGUACGGUCACAUUGGAUUUGAAAACGACAUCCUUUCUUCCAUAGAUCCACGCUACCUGAAAGAAGGCCGCCUUCUGAAUCCAACGAUACCAGUUAUGUGCACAUCGGACCUACGCUUCAAAAGAUACGGACAGGUAAGCUUUGGCCAAUCAGAUCGCAUAUGCUAACGAGGGUGGAAUUAAUGAGGGUGAAACUCGUUUUUAUCUAUAUACCUAGCUGCAACUGACCCCAAACUAGCCCCUAAACCUUAACCCUCAAAACUGCUAGCCUUAGCCCCAAACAAAACUGCUAGCCUUAGCCCCACUGACCGUAACCCACUGACCCCUGGCCCCACCGUUUUUAAACGUGCCAGUCCCUAGACUCUGUAAACCUUUAUCAACCAGACGCUUCAUCAAAUUCUGUACAGAAAUAUCAUAAAACUAAUAUCAUAUUCUCCAGGAUAUAACCCUUGGCUUCUCGGUCGCCCUCUCCUGGAUAAAACUGUGAAUAGCCAUGUGUAAAAAACUGAUUAGGAUUCCAAUAUUUUAGCAGGAUUUGACACUCCAGGCGGAGCUCUUGAGCGGAUGACUUCACUCAAAGACAUCUUUCCAGUCUAAUUUUAAUGAUGCACUCUCUCUCUCUUUCACAAACACACACAUACACUCCUGUGCACACUCACACGCACGUGUGCACACUCACACGCAUAUGCAGUCAAAACACACAGACGCACACGAACUGGCUGGAAAACUAUUUUUAUUCAGGCUAGUGAUACCUUGUUCCUAAAAAGACAAAUGAUUUCACGGGUUAUUUCGUUUGGAUGUAUUUCUUGUUUUUAUCGAUGACUGGCUUCCUUUUUGUCACGCUUUAGACUGAUGUACGGUCACAUUGGAUUUGAAAACGACAUCCUUUCUUCCAUAGAUCCACGCUACCUGAAAGAAGGC
rnacentral:lncRNA from 1 species